rnacentral:misc_RNA from 1 species
UUAACUUAUUUGUAUUUUCACUCAGACUUCAAUCUUCAGACAGCGUUCAAUGGUGUCUUCGGCGGGCGCGGGCCAGAGGGCAGAAGCCCCCCGGCGGCCGUGAGGCGGGCCCGCCGAAGCAACAAGGUACGAUAAACACGGGUGGGAGGUUGGACCCAGAGGGCCCUCACUCGGUAAUGAUCCUUCCGCAGGUUCACCUACGGAAA